UAUGGUUUGAUCUGACCUAGACAGUAGUUCUCAGGCUUUUUUUUGGUCAUUCACCAUUUUGAAUUAGUGGAGUUUUUUAAGCCCCACCCACCUCCAUCACACCAACAUAAACCUACAAAAAUAACGUCUGAAAACACAGUUUAAAGUGCAGUUGUGCCAUCAUCACUUGAACCUUGAAAAUGUCUUCACAUUUAUAGCUCCUCACAUGUCACGUCUCGGUUCACCUCCAGAGGGGUGCGAAGAAACUGGAUUUAAAAACAGAACUUGAUGCUGAAACAACACUGAGAAGAAAAAUACCCUGUGUCUUCACUUUGUUACUGCAACAGAACCUGAACCAACAGUGGAAGAAAACUUGUCUGUCGCCUCUUCAGUAAAGCCGUCCCCCGAAGGCUGGAAAAUAUGGACUGCAGUUUCAGGACUUCUUUUUUCCUGAUUCCAUCUGCAGACGUUUAUGUUAUUGUUUAAACACCGUCUCCUUAAAUGCACUUUCAGUAAAACCGGGUCAUUUGUCCACUCACACCAUAAAACCUGUAAUCCAUGACAGCUCAGGUGGAGUGUACCGUAUAUGAGUGACUCUUAUCAGCACACUGCAGUAUCCUUUAUUAGGUUGUACUGGUGUGGUAAAAGUGGCCCCAUAACUGCAGUCUGCAGGAACCACGGACAGUUUUGUGAAUGAAUAUUUCACAGGGUCGUUGGACACAUUAAGAUAAGUACAUUCUAUUAUUCCCAUCUCCUCCCAGUGUUAAAUGAAGUGAUUCAUGCUGAAGUCAUUACUGGACGUGGAUUUUAAAAAGUCACAGUCAAAAUUGUUGCUCACAUUCAACUCUCAUUGGUCUGCAGGAGCGACAGGGAUUUCUAAAGUUAAUCCUACAUUAAAUUGAUUUUUUAAUUUUUAUACAAUGUCAGAACUGGACAGAAACCUUAAAAAGAAGACGUUAUAAAACUGAAUAGUGGCCAAAACACUGGAGAGGUGGUUCAAGAUGACACUUCACAGCAAUAAUAUCGCUGGCCUGAGCACAGUCUUGGACAGAUGGAGCCUCGGCGUGUGUGUAUGUUCUCACUGAAACACACUGAUUAGGGAUUAGGGUUAAUAGGUGUGAAUGUGAGUUUGAGUUGUUGUUUGUCCCCAAAUACGACACAGCAAAGACCUGGCAAAAUGUCAGCGAUGUAAUCUGUCUUCAUCGGACAUCAGCUUUGAUCAGCAGCCGAGGAUAGAUGGCUAUUUAAUAUGCGCAAACCACAACAACUCAUUCUGCUUUGGUCUUUACGGAACACUGAAUAUUAUAAAUGUUAAGAAAAAUUGAUUGUUUGGGAACAGGAACCUCAAGAAGUUUCUUUGUUCGUUUUAACAAUUUUUACAAGUUUUUCAGUUUGUUUGAUUUAACCGGUUAGCACGUGUCACAAUGACAAUAAAUAAAUUUCAGUAGUGUUUUGUUUUUUUUUUUCAGAUUUUGCAUUUGUCUAUCUGUAUUAUUUUGGCCACUGUUUCUCUCAAAUAAAUACUUCUCGCCAAAUCCAGGUUUUAUCAGUCUGUGGAUUUUCAGAAAAACAUCAAAAUGCCAGAACUCUGACUCAGGGUGGAAUCCUCAGCUGAGAGAGUGCAGUGUGUAACCUGGCUGGCACACACUGAGGUUCAUGACAGAGAAUAUUGAAAUAGUCACAGACUCAGAAAUCUCACAUUUGCAUGAAAUUCACUGUGGAAAACAGAAGUCACACAGAACCUCGUUAUGUGGAUGAACGGCUGCAACAUUUGGUUUCAUUUGCAGCACUAGAGCAACUCAGUAAAAAUAUACAGGGAUUACGAUGGAACAGGGUUUUUAUGAUAAUGAAAAUGUCUCAGUGGGCCGCGGUGGCGAGUGUCUCCACUUCAUUUGAUCAAGUCUGAACUGAGCCUCUCCUUUCAGAGAGAAACUUUCGUUUCAAACAGCAGAAAUUCAAAAUGACAUUUUUUCAGCACGGUGCCUGAGGGGGAGAGGUGUUUGUUGCCUCGGGUUUUGUGAUUCACAUCAGGAAGGUUGACUAUUCUUCCUGCCUAAUGUGCCACACUGUGCCACAGCUGCUUAAGUAAAAGGCUGUUUACUCUGUAAUGUAGCUUGACUUUCACAGCACGCUGCAAUUUAAGGAUGCAUGAAUGUUGUCCUUUACAGAUUAUGGGUAACUAACGUCUGAGUAAAUAUCUGCCGAGGGGCAAUAGUUGUGUCUCAAAAGAGGUCGGCCUCAACGCAGUCACUUCUUUUGCACAAACAUGCAAAGCAGGGCUGUGGUAUGUCCAGAUUUGUCUUCAGGUGUAAACCUCUGUUCUGUAGUUCUCCUCAGACAAUAAGACAUUUGAACCGUUCUUGUUCAAAUCAGAGCAAAAUAAAUUGGAAAUCAACUAAUUACAAAAUUAACAUAGGCAGCUGUGAAGUCCAACAGAACCAGUUCUGCUACAAUUCUGUGAUAGUGUGUAGUAUUUUCUAUGCAAGUACUAUCUGUAUACGGUAUCAAUGUUUGGACAUUUAGGACCAGGAACUAUUCAUAAACCAUCAGUGCCUACUGAGCUGACCUAGAUGGAGACCAGGUAUUACAUAUGCAGUCAAGUAGUUCUCAUAACUUCCAGAUAUGUAAAAACAAAUUAUCAUGAACCAAACAGAUAAAUGACAAGUACACAAAUCGGAAUUUCAACAACUUUUACUUUGAAAGGAUAAAAGCUGAAGAAAAAUACAUAAAAUAUACAAAGAUCCAUCCCAGAUUAAAAAGAAAAAACAAAAACAGAGUGACAAAUAAUAGUCUUUUUUCACCUCUUGUCCAUUUUGAUUUUAACCACUUUACAGAAGGUUUGGAAGAAGAAAAAAACUCCACAGGUUAUAAAAACUUUCCUCGUUCAAAAGCCAAACAUAUAUAUAUA